rnacentral:lncRNA from 1 species
CAGGCUGUUCUUCCCUCCUUGGCGGCUCUGGCUGUGGUAGGGCCCUCGGCCGAUCUUCCCUGUCCUUAGACCGACGUCGGAUGAAUGUCGAGCCGACCUCAUCUGAUGAGCUCCUCGAUCUCAUCUCAGAGCUGAAUGCACUCCUCCGUAUCGUGGCCAUGGUCACGAUGAUAAAGGCAGAACUUGUUAGGAUUGCACUUUUUGAGGUGUGGGCGCAUCCUUUCUGGCCUUGGCAGCUGCUCCCUGACCUCCAUCAGCACUUGGGCUUUUGGAGCAUUGAGAGGGGCGUAGCUGUGGAACCUUCUUGGGGGAGAGCUCCAUCGAACUCUACAGUUUGGGCUUCUCUGUUUACGAGCCCGGGGAGGGGUCUAGAUACGCUUGUGUCCGAGGGGAGUUCGAGAACAUGGCC